rnacentral:pre_miRNA from 1 species
AGCACUGGGGUUGAGCUUCCUUGAAGUCCAAUGGUGGUUCUUGCCGGUUAGAUAGAGCUGCUGAAUUAUGGAUUCCACAGCCCUGUUUCAUGCUUGGAAGGAUUUGGAUAGGUUUGUGGUUUGCAUAUUUCAGGAGCUGCAUUAACUGGGGAGGAAUCUCGUUUGGAUUGAAGGGAGCUCUGCACCAUCCCUUC